rnacentral:rRNA from 1 species
AUUGAACGCUGGCGGCAUGCCUUACACCUGCAAGUCGAACGGUAACAGGUCUUCGGAUGCUGACGAGUGGCGAACGGGUGAGUAAUACAUCGGAACGUGCCUAGUAGUGGGGGAUAACUACUCGAAAGAGUGGCUAAUACCGCAUGAGAUCUACGGAUGAAAGCAGGGGAUCGCAAGACCUUGUGCUACUAGAGCGGCCGAUGGCAGAUUAGGUAGUUGGUGGGAGAAACGCUUACCAAGCCGACGAUCUGUAGCUGGGCUGAGAGGACGAUCAGCCACACGGGGACUGAGACACGGCCCAGACUCCUACGGGAGGCAGCAGUGGGGAAUUUUGGACAAUGGGCGAAAGCCUGAUCCAGCAAUGCCGCGUGCAGGAUGAAGGCCUUCGGGUUGUAAACUGCUUUUGUACGGAACGAAAAGCCCCGGGUUAAUACCCUGGGGUCAUGACGGUACCGUAAGAAUAAGCACCGGCUAACUACGUGCCAGCAGCCGCCGUAA